UACGGAGGGUGCAAGCGUUGUCCGGAUUUAUUGGGUUUAAAGGGUGCGUAGGCGGCCCGUUAAGUCAGUGGUGAAAGCCUCCAGCUCAACUGGAGAACUGCCAUUGAUACUGACGGGCUUGAGUACAGACGAGGUUGGCGGAAUUGAUUGUGUAGCGGUGAAAUGCAUAGAUACAAUCAAGAACUCCGAUUGCGUAGGCAGCUAACUAGGCUUUAACUGACGCUGAGGCACGAGAGCGUGGGGAGCGAACAGG
rnacentral:rRNA from 1 species